CCAGCAGGGAUUGCCUCAGUAACGGCGAGUGAAGCGGCANCAGCUCAAAUUUGAAAUCUGGCCCUCUCAGGGUCCGAGUUGUAAUUNGGAGAAGAUGCUUCGGGUGUGGCNNCGGUCUAAGUUCCUUGGAACAGGACGUCACAGAGGGUGAGANUNCCGUAUGUGACCGGUGGCCUCCCCCAUGUGAAGCUCUUUCGACGAGUCGAGUUGUUUGGGAAUGCAGCUCAAAAUGGGUGGUAAAUUUCAUCUAAAGCUAAAUAUUGGCCAGAGACCGAUAGCGCACAAGUAGAGUGAUCGAAAGAUGAAAAGCACUUUGGAAAGAGAGUUAAACAGUACGUGAAAUUGUUGAAAGGGAAGCGCUUGCAACCAGACUUGCGCGCGGCCGAUCAUCCGGUGUUCGCACCGGUGCACUCGGUCGCGCUCAGGCCAGCAUCGGUUUGGGUGGCUAGAUAAAGGCCUCGGGAAUGUGGCUCUCUUCGGGGAGUGUUAUAGCCCGAGGUGCCAUGUAGCCUACCCAGACCGAGGACCGCGCUUC
rnacentral:rRNA from 1 species